UAGGGAAUCUUCGGCAAUGGACGAAAGUCUGACCGAGCAACGCCGCGUGAGUGAAGAAGGUUUUCGGAUCGUAAAACUCUGUUGGUAGAGAAGAACGUUGGUGAGAGUGGAGAGCUCAUCAAGUGACGGUAACUACCCAGAAAGGGACGGCUAACUACGUGCUAG
rnacentral:rRNA from 1 species